rnacentral:lncRNA from 1 species
CCCGGCAAGGAAACGGAGGAGGUAGCACUUCUCCUGCUUGGUGCAUGCGGUGGUGGGGGAGGCCAAGAUGAGCAGCACGAAGAGCUGCAGCACGGCCGUAGGAACGUUGAAGAAAUGCAUUGGUUAGUGUUUUCUCCUACCUUCUUUUUUGCUGUUGCUUGAGAAUGCAUAUGCAGUGCUCGUGCUAUUUAUCAUCUAGCAGUAGCUUUAUCCUUUGCAUCAGAGCUACUGAACACCAUUCAUAACACCAUGUCAUGUCAUGGGUGCCGUGCAGCUUAGGGCCCUUGGCCAUGAUCGGCUGGUGCACAAAAGACUGUAGUACUAGCGUGGGAAAGCUACAUCCGUGCCCAUCAAUUACUAUUAGCCAUAACAAAACGCCAUCAACUAGUUUAUAAAGCUCUCUUCUACUCUCUCUGUAAAGAAAUAUAAGAGCGUUUGGAUCACUAGCGUUUAGAUCACUAAACUAGUGAUCCAAACGCUCUUAUAUUUCUUUACAGAGGAAGUACUUGUGUAUGGAUUAAAUAGUUACUGAAUAGAUUGAGGUUAGGCAUUGUAUCCAAAAUAUUCAAGUAACAGGAAAUCAAUCUGUCAUCUACCAGCCCCAAGGUUCACGCUUAUUAUGUUUACAUGGCUGAAAAAUAUAUAGGAGAGCAAGGUUCAUUGCUAGUUAGCUUAUCUUAAAUGAUCUAUUUAUUGCGUUACGACCCAAUAGUACAUAUGCUAGUGGCAGGCUGCCAUCGAUAGCCUGCCCCCUGGGGUACCCUAGUUUACUGGGAAUUUGCUCACCCUACUGUUGGUAUACUUGAGUAUGAUAGGUACGGACCGUACCCAAAGAUACCAGGCCACAUGGGCUGGAUUUCUUUUGAUUUGAUAAAUAAUGCAGAAUGGUACCAGUUACACCACAUGAUUUGUUUUCCAUGCUUUAAUGCAGAAGCAAGUUAGAUUCUGGAAAUGAGAGUCAAAUGGUCGAUCAGAGAGGUGUGUAUCUUGCGUAGUUUCUUGGUUGAGCCUGAUAAAAUCAGAGUCAAAUGGAAAUUUCUUCUUACUUCAUGGUUGUUUCUUGCAUGAUGGGAAGAGUUCAGUUAGGUUUCCUCUUCUCAGUUCAUGCUUGAGCCGUUUUCCUCCAUGCUCGCUUUUGGUAGUUAGUAGAGUACUGGAGGUAUUUGUGUUUCAAUAGAAUCUCCUGAGAAGGUACAUACCUAAAUGCUUUAUCUAAUUCAUGCUUUGCAGAACAUUUUGUGAACUUGUGUUUGAUGUCUAUGAAAUAUAUUCUGCUUGAUAAUUAUACAAAU